rnacentral:rRNA from 1 species
GACAGAGGGUGCAAACGUUGUUCGGAAUUACUGGGCGUAAAGCGCGUGUAGGCGGCUUGGCAAGUCGGGUGUGAAAGCCCCGGGCUCAACCUGGGAAGUGCACUCGAAACUGCUUGGCUUGAGUACUGGAGAGGGAAGCGGAAUUCUCGGUGUAGAGGUGAAAUUCGUAGAGAUGUGGAGGAACACCAGUGGCGAAGGCGACUUUCUGGCUUAUAACUGACGCUGAGGCGCGAAAGCGUGGGGAGCAAACAGG